UACGUAGGGUGCGAGCGUUGUCCGGAAUUACUGGGCGUAAAGAGCUCGUAGGUGGUUUGUCGCGUUGUUCGUGAAAACUCACAGCUCAACUGUGGGCGUGCGGGCGAUACGGGCAGACUGGAGUACUGCAGGGGAGACUGGGAAUUCCUGGUGUAGCGGUGGAAUGCGCAGAUAUCAGGAGGAACACCGGUGGCGAAGGCGGGUCUCUGGGCAGUAACUGACGCUGGAGGAGCGAAAGCGUGGGGAGCGAACAGG
rnacentral:rRNA from 1 species